AAUGAACGCUGGCGGCGUGCUUAACACAUGCAAGUCGAGCGCGAAAGUUUCUUCGGAAAUGAGUAAAGCGGCGAACGGGUGAGUAAUACGUAAGAAUCUACCCUUUAGUGAGGAAUAUGCCCGAGAAAUUGGGUUUAAUACCGCAUAAGUCCUACGGGAGAAAGGCGGCUUUAUGCUGUCGCUGAAGGAGGAGCUUACGGACUAUCAGCUAGUUGGUAGGGUAAUGGCCUACCAAGGCUAUGACGGUUAACCGGCCUGAGAGGGUGUACGGUCACAUUGGAACUGAGAAACGGUCCAGACUCCUACGGGAGGCAGCAGUGGGGAAUAUUGCACAAUGGGGGAAACCCUGAUGCAGCAACGCCGCGUGAGUGAUGACGGUCUUCGGAUUGUAAGGCUCUGUCUUUGGGGACGAUAAUGACGGUACCCAAGGAGGAAGCCACGGCUAACUACGUGCCAGCCGCCGCGGUAAUAC
rnacentral:rRNA from 1 species